rnacentral:rRNA from 1 species
CCUACGGGAGGCAGCAGUAGGGAAUCUUUCACAAUGGGCGAAAGCCUGAUGGAGCAACGCCGCGUGCAGGAUGAAGGCCUUCGGGUUGUAAACUGCUUUUAUAAGCGAGAAAUAUGAUGGUAACUUAUGAAUAAGGAUCGGCUAACUACGUGCCAGCAGCCGCGGUCAUACGUAGGAUCCGAGCAUUAUCCGGAGUGACUGGGUGUAAAGAGUUGCGUAGGUGGCAUAGUAAGUAGCUAGUGAAAUCUGGUGGCUCAACCAUUCAGACUAUUAGCUAAACUGUUAAGCUCGAGACCGUUAGGGGUAACUGGAAUUUCUAGUGUAGGAGUGAAAUCCGUAGAUAUUAGAAGGAACACCAAUAGCGUAGGCAGGUUGCUGGGACGGUUCUGACACUAAGGCACGAAAGCGUGGGGAGCAAACAGGAUUAGAUACCCCAGUAGUC